UAUAUACUCCCUCCGCCUGAAAAUACUUGUCAUCAAAAUUAAUAAAAGGAGAUGUAUCUAGACUUAUUUUAGUUUUAAAUACACCCCUUUUUGUCCAUUUUGAUGACAAGUAUUUUCGGACGAAGGGAGUAGAAA
rfam:Triticum aestivum genome assembly, contig: Triticum_aestivum_CS42_TGACv1_scaffold_288887_4AL